rnacentral:rRNA from 1 species
AGAAUCAACGCUGGCGGCGCGCUUAACACAUGCAAGUCGAGCGAGAAAGUGGAGCAAUCCAUGAGUAAAGCGGCGUACGGGUGAGUAACACGUGGAUCAUCUACCUUUUAGUGGGGGAUAACUCCGGGAAACCGGAGCUAAUACCGCAUAAGCCUGUAAAGGGAAAGCAGCAAUGCGCUGAAAGAGGAGUCCGCGGCCGAUUAGCUAGUUGGUGAGGUAACGGCCCACCAAGGCGAUGAUCGGUA